GUGGGGAAUAUUGGGCAAUGGGCGCAAGCCUGACCCAGCAACGCCGCGUGAGGGAAGAAGGUCUUCGGAUUGUAAACCUCUGUCCUUGGGGACGAAAAAAAUGACGGUACCCAAGGAGGAAGCUCCGGCUAACUACGUGCCAGCAGCCGCGGUAAUACGUAGGGAGCGAGCGUUGUCCGGAAUUACUGGGCGUAAAGGGUGCGUAGGCGGCUUGGCAAGUCAGAUGUGAAAUCCCCGGGCUUAACUCGGGAGUUGCAUUUGAAACUGCUAGGCUUGAGUGCAGGAGAGGAAAGCGGAAUUCCUAGUGUAGCGGUGAAAUGCGUAGAUAUUAGGAGGAACACCAGUGGCGAAGGCGGCUUUCUGGACUGUAACUGACGCUGAGGCACGAAAGCGUGGGGAGCAAACAGGAUUAGAUACCCCUGUAGUCC
rnacentral:rRNA from 1 species